AAUCUAUCACCCAAUACGCGCCUUUGACAAAACAUAGCCCCCCUCUCUCUACAAAACACCCAUUUGACUCUUUCUCUCUCAAGCUUCAUUUAUACUUUGAUCUUUCUCUCUCUUUCCCCAUCUUCGACCUUCCUUAAGCCCCUCUCUCUCGCUAUUAUCAUUCCUGCUCUGUUGAAGAGGGUAUUUUCUGAUGUGUCCUCUCAGAAUCAUUCUCAUAUUCCUUUCUGCUUCUCUGGCUGCAUUUCUCGCCUGGAAGAACUUCCAAUCUGCACCGUCGAUUGAAGGUCUUAAUGGAGAGGAUAAACAACCCCAAGGCUCAACCUGCGGCCGUCUCUCCAAGGUUUUUUGGGCAUGUGUAGAUAUGGCCAGUGGUAAAUACCUAUGGAGAAACCUAGCCCCGGGGAAAAGUGAAUUGAGGACUUCUUGAUAUUAAGUAGGUGCAUUAUUUAGAAAAUGGUGAUUGCGAAAUGUUGUGCGAGUCCACCUCAUGAAAAUUGAUCAUGAAAAGUUCUUGGAGCAGUGAUCGUAGACUUUAACCUAAGAAAUAAAAUAUUUACCCGGACCAUAAAAUUUUUGUUAUCCUCCUUGUUUGAGCAUGUAAAUCCUGGAUUCCUCGAUUAAUCUUUGACAUGGCAUAAAA